rnacentral:snoRNA from 11 species
AUUUGGCUUAGUUAGGAGGCACAAAUCAAAACAUAUGGAUCAAAAGUAUCUUAGAUUGAUGCCUUGAUCUUAAAAACUAAGGUCUUUUUGAGUGGACUCUCUUGUUACUUUCCCAUCAAUUGUCCUUCAAGCAGCCUUAGACAUUC